GAUUUUUGGGGAGCUUCAAGAGGGGAUUUUCAUCAUCAAUGUGAAGGUAAGUUAUCCCCACCUAUUUUGAGUUAAGUACAUCAAUUAUGUAUGGAUUUGAGCAUGAAAAUUGUAGAAAAAUUGAGGAUUUAGGCCUAGGGAUUUGAAAAUAAGAUUUGGUGAUUUGAGGGGUCAAAUAAACUCUGAUUUUGGUAAAUUUUAUAUGUACGGACUCGUGGAGAGACGAGGAAUCCGGUGAUGUGACUUUCGUAAUUUUUCGAGAAGUGGGCCCGGGGCUCAGGUUUUGCUAAUUUCGGGAUUUUCGACAUUUUUCGAGUCUUUUCGAUUGGGUUAUAUUCCCUUAGCCUAUUGUGACGUAUUCGUUGUGAUUUUGACUAGAUUCGAUGCGCGAAGAGGUCGAUUCAAGAGGAAAGGGCAUUGCGGACUAGUCUACGGCCGGUUAAAGGUGAGUAAUAGAUGAAAAUGUUGUUCUGAGGGUUUGAAACCCCGUACUUUCACAUCGUAACGCUAUAUUGAGGCGUGACACGCACUCCAUGGCGA
rnacentral:lncRNA from 1 species